rnacentral:rRNA from 1 species
CCUACGGGUGGCAGCAGUGGGGAAUAUUGCGCAAUGGGCGGAAGCCUGAUGCAGCGACGCCGCGUGAGUGAUGAAGGACUUCGGUAUGUAAAACUCUGUUAUUAGGGAAGAAAAUGACGGUACGUAACUAUGAACGCCCUGCUAACACCGUGCCAGCAGCCGAGGUAAUACGUAGGGGGCGAGCGUUAUCCGGAUUUACUGGGCGUAAAGGGAGCGUAGACGGCUGUGCAAGUCUGGUGUGAAAGGCGGGGGCCCAACCCUGGGGCUGCAUUGGAAACUGGAAAGCUGGAGUGCAGGAGAGGUAAGCGGAAUUCCUGGUGUAGCGGUGAAAUGCGUAGAUAUUAGGAGGAACACCAGUGGCGAAGGCGGCUUACUGGACUGCAACUGACGUUGAGGCGCGAAAGCGUGGGGAGCAAACAGGAUUAGAUACCCUAGUAGUC